rnacentral:rRNA from 1 species
AGUGAACGCUGGCGGUAGGCCUAACACAUGCAAGUCGAACGGCAGCACAGUAAGAGCUUGCUCUUACGGGUGGCGAGUGGCGGACGGGUGAGGAAUACAUCGGAAUCUACUUUUUCGUGGGGGAUAACGUAGGGAAACUUACGCUAAUACCGCAUACGACCUACGGGUGAAAGCAGGGGAUCUUCGGACCUUGCGCGAUUGAAUGAGCCGAUGUCGGAUUAGCUAGUUGGCGGGGUAAAGGCCAACCAAGCGAACGACCCGUAGCUGGUUUGAGAGGAUGAUCAGCCACGCUGGAACUGAGACACGGUCCAGACUCCUACGGGAGGCAGCAGUGGGGAAUAUUGGACAAUGGGCGCAAGCCUGAUACAGCCAUACCGAGUGGGUGAAGAAGGACUUCGGGUUGUAAAGCCCUUUUGUUGGGAAAGAAAAGCAGCAGGUUAAUACCCCGCUGUUCUGACGGUACCCAAAGAAUAAGCACCGGCUAACUUCGUG